GGUAGUCUCGCACAGAUGCAUAUCAAUAAGCGGAGGAAAAGAAACUAACAAGGAUUCCCUCAGUAACGGCGAGUGAAGCGGGAAGAGCUCAAAUUUGAAAUCUUGAAAGGUCACCUUUCACGAAUUGUAGUUUAAAGAAGUGUUUUCUGUUACGAUCGUAAUAUAAGUUCUUUGGAAUAGGACAUCAUAGAGGGUGAGAAUCCCGUAUGAUUGACCGAUUAUUGUCAGCUGUGUGAUACACUUUCAAAGAGUCGGGUUGUUUGGGAAUGCAGCCCAAAACGGGAGGUAAAUUUCUUCUAAGGCUAAAUAUUGGCGAGAGACCGAUAGCGAACAAGUACCGUGAGGGAAAGAUGAAAAGAACUUUGAAAAGAGAGUUAAAUAGUACGUGAAGUUGUCAAAAGGGAAGCGUUUAACACCAGUGUUGUUUUCUGAAAAUCAACCUCUGUUAGCUUUAUGCAUGUUUGUUUAGACCUAAUCAGCUAUCUUGCAUGUUCUAUUGUUUGCAGUGGUGCACUUUUCAGUUUACAGGUCAACAUCAGUUUUUUUUACCGUAAAAAAGUUAAAGAAAGGUAGCUCAUGGCUCCGGUCGUGAGUGUUAUAGUCUUUUUCCUAUGCGGUAGGAGAGACUGAGGUCUGCAGUGUAGGCUAUUUGGCUAGAUACUCAGGUGCUAUGUGAUACCAUUUCAUAAACAACUUGUUGAUUAUGUUUUGUCUAUUGCAUACUCGCUUGUACUAUCAUACCUACGCUUAGGAUGUUGAAGAUGUAGCACAUCAU
rnacentral:rRNA from 1 species